rnacentral:rRNA from 1 species
CUUACAAUGAAAAUAACCCUUUUGGGCACUCCUAUAAAGGUAGUGCGAAUGUAUAGGAUAGUAAGAUUUUUUAGUUGUACCUUUUGUAUCAGGGGAGAUCAAAAGUUCUGUAAUUAAGGGAUCGAGUUGGCUAGAUCUUUGCUAUUAGAGCAUAGUGAAAUUUUGGCUCAGUAUUAGGCAAGGGGUGAAAGGUGUACGGUAGUUGAGAUAUCUAAUUGCUAUGUGAAUGAGUGAGAGGUAAAGCUCUUACAGCUCCACAAAAAGUAACUUUUUGUGGAGCUAGGCUUUAAAUUAGCUAUGCUAAGAUAUUGUUUUUAAAAAUUUUUCUUAAAAGUAAAGGGUGGAUUUUUUAGUUACGGGGAUUAUCGGUGUUCUUUUAAAAUAAUGAAUUUAUUGAAUUAAUAGCGGAGUUGAAAAAUAACUCAGAUUAUGCAGGAUAGUUUAGCAAAAACAUUUCUUUUUGGUUAAAAAGUAAAGCCUGCCCGGUGCAGAGUAAACGGCUGCGGUAAUCUAACCGUGCAAAGGUAGCACAAUCAAUUGCUUCUUAAUUGGGGGCUGGAAUGAAGGGUAAAACCUGUGCACUAAGUUUGUAGGCUGAUGUAGAUAUUUAAGUAAAGGUAAUAAUACCUUUAUUUUCUAGGGGACGAUAAGACCCUAGAAGCUUUAUUAAGGGUUAUCUAGUAGUGGUAGGCACAUGGUUUUUUUACUGGGGCGGUAGCGGUAAAUAAACUACUGUUUAUUGAAAGGUCCUCUUAUGGAGACAAGACGGAGUAGUUACUCUAGGGAUAACAGUACAAUAGUUUUGAAGAGACCUUAUCGAUAAAUAUGCUUGUAACCUCGAUGUU